GGUUGAUCGGUGUAGUUGGUUAUUACACCCGGAUUCCGAUUUCUCGGUCAUAAAUACUAUCGCGGCUACCUGGGUUCAAAUCCCAGAUCGACCC